UGUGUGUGUGUGUGUGUGUGUGUGUGUGUGUGUGUGUGUGUGUGUGUGUGUGUGUGUGUGUGUUACACCAGGGGUUCCUGAGGAUUUUUAAUUGGAGGUUAACAAAUGUAUCAUAAACAGAAAAACAAUUGAAACUGCAUUUGUUAACUUGGGUAUUUCUGUAUUUUUAGCUGCAUCAGCUCAGUGGCCUAGUGGUAUGAGUGUCUGGACUGGGAAAUUGGGGUUCAAAUCCCAGUCAGGUCAUACCAAAGACUUAAAAAAUGGGACCCAAUGUAGAAAAUUAAAUUUUUUGCACCGAUUUAGAACAGAAUAAACAAACCGUGAACAGUGGGAGUGUUAUAAUUCCACUAGAGGUCAUCCGAACUUUAACCUUAACUACUUCCAAAUACAUAGAGGGUUAUAUACUGUAUUAUAUAUUUUAGAAUAUAUUUAAAAAUAAUAUAGAUUCAAUUUUCAAUAAGCAUCACAACAGAAGUAGCACCAUUUUUUUUGUUUAAAAUUCAUUUAGCCCCAAAAAUAUUGUUAAAAUGGAAGCAUAAAGAAAUAUAAUUAUUUUUUAAGUAGUCACAUCAGAUUAUUAAAUUAUUUUUUUGCUAAUUCCAUAUUUUCCUUAAUCUCAUGUUCUCCUUGAAUCUCCAGAAAUUCUCCAGUUUUUUGUAUUUUUAUUUUAUGAACUUUGUGAUGAUUUACGGUCAAUUUUCACAAAACUUUAAUGCAUAAUUAAAAGCAAAUAUCCAUUUUCAUCUUUCUGUUGAUUAUUUCAUUAAUAAACAAACAACAUUUAGUUUUGAAAUAAAAACGGAUGCAUGUUUGUUGUUUUAAGACUCAGUUUUAACCCUUUAACUUUCACGAUAAGAAAAAUAAAGUCUUUAGAUGUUAUUCAUAUUUUUUAGGAUUGAAUGGGCUUGGGAUCACACGUGAUCACUCGUAGCAUUGUGGGAUGUGCGCAGACAUGUUGAUGUUCUUACGGGUGUAAACAAACCGUGAAAACAAACAGUGUGUCGUAGAGAAGAAGCGAUUUGGGUGAAAGGAAGUGUUAAUGUUAAAAUUCCUAAAAGGAUGCGGAAUGCAUAGGGACAUGUUAAAUAAAGACACCGGCGACCGGUAUGUGAACAAAAUCAGCAUUAGAAACGGUUUGGAUCCAAAUGAAAAACCCAAGACCUAAAACUUGUCGCCGCCACAGUUCUGCAUAACAGACAUUUUCGGCUUUAUCGUCUGUGGUAUGAGCAGAUGUAAAUGUCCGGAUGAGAAGUAAAUGUUUGCUGGUUUUUAUGGGAUUAGAUUUGUGCCAAUAGGAUCAAGAAAAACACUUUGGAGAGCAAACAAAUUUUAAGACACUGAGAGAAAAAACCUUGGUUUCAAAAGAAAAACUUACGAUCUGAAUCAGAUUCUUAAAAUGAUCAAGAAAAUCACUGUGACGGUCAAACAAAAAUUAAGAAAUUGACAGAACAAAAAUAUUGACUAAAGGAAAAAAGCAUGUUUCAAAAGUAAAACUUACUAUCUGAAUAAACUUCUUAAAAUGAGUAACAAAGUAUGUUUCCUUUUUCUGUUUGCCUCUAUGUGUUUUUGUUAUCAAUUUCCUUAGUUUUGUUCUCUGCUCAGAGCUUUGCUCUCACUUCCAGAUUUGCACUUACACUGUCUGGCUUUCUCCUUUGCAAUCCCUGAGUUUUUGGUUGCAAUUCUGACACAACCCUUUCGGGUGGGCGGGACUUCUGAGAAGUCCUCUCCCAUAGGACAGUGGUUUCUCUUGAGUGACAGUUCAGUGACCUGGAAGUGAUGUAGCCUCCAAGACAUUUUUUUCCCACCUGGUCAACAACAUGAAUUUUGAGCCCCAAACAGGUUAUUUCUGCUGUCUGUGGUGUCUACUGAGGAUCUAAAGAACCUGUGGAACAUUAGAGACUUUGCAGCUACUGGAGCUAACCUGUGUACUGCUAACUUGCUACAGAGGAAGCAGCAGAAAGCUGAGCUAACAGGCUGUUUUGCAGUGAAACGAAUGGAUUUUAUGAUGUAACUCUGACUGAAUAAUUAUCUAAAUUGAAAACUGCUGCAUUGCAUUACAAUGGAAGUGCUACACAGCCACAUGCAUCAACUGCAGCUGUUGACAAGCAUAUGGACCUAUUGUUCGAGUCCGUGGUGGUGGAUGCUCUACCAUAUCAGGAGUCUGACUAAGUACCUGUGCCUGAACCUCUCUGUGUCUAGUUCAAAAGACCUGAAAGACCUGCUGUAAGCAGGCACAGGAUAAGAUUUUAAAAGAACCUGUAAGGUUGCCUGAUGCUGAACUUCGGGCAGCUGCGUGCUCAGUGGAACAACCGCCUGUGGGAGGAGUCGUUGUGUUGCUGUUAGGAGUUUGGGUCGGAGUCCUGGGUUUGUGUUCCCUUUAAUCUCUUCAUUAGCCUUGCUAGUCACCAUUGCAGAGCACCAUGGAGAGGCUUACCUGAAAACUCUUCUCAUGGGGCAGGCACAUCCUCACACACCUGUAACCCCAUCCUUGAAUAAAAGCUGGUAGCUGGUCACUCAUCAGUGUUUUAACCCAUAUCUAGCCCAUGACUCUGCCGUUUUUCAAACUUACGUUCUCAUGUUCUAUGCAGAUCUAUGGGAAUUCUUUCCUUGAAGCUCCUGAUCACACAACCAUACUGGCAGUCGGCUUACCCACUACCUUCUGCUCACCCGCUUGCUACUCAUGCUGUCAUUCUCCCAGACUUCUGGUUGUUUCUCCACCAUUCUGCUGUCUCCCGUCUGCGCUACAAUUUCAGACCGGCCUUCUGAUCUUUAAACACUAAAACCUGUGGCUCCAUCUCUGUGGCGUUUCUCAGACUCCAAGCUUCUGGUUCCUGAUCUCCAGCAGUUACCUCUUCAGUCAUCCGUCAAACAUUUUAAUAAACUGUUUUUAGCUCA